UAGUGUUACCGUUAGAAAAUUUAGGUUGAAGCCAAAAAAAACCCAUUGUUAUGAAUAGGUCAAAAACUAGCAUUUGGGAUCUGUGGGCAGCUCCGCUGGCGCUUGUUCCAUGCGAAUAAUCGCCGUGUCUUAUUUUCUUCAGUCAUAUGGUAGAAUCCAGCACUUCCAAUGAGACCAUCUUCGCUCUGUUACUUUGUAAUUGUAAUCAACGAGAGAAACUAAAAAAGUUGCCUUGUUACAGUCGUCAAUGGCGAACUCAGCUGAAAGAGAUUACGUACCUAGGACGCAAUUAAAAAACCGUUCUCUUUAUUCACCAUUUAGUCUCAAGAACAACAUCAAUUUCUAUACAGAAAAAUGGGUACCCAGAAUUGUCAGAGAAAGAGUGUGAUAGUUGUGAUUGAUGCAAAUCGGAGUAAAGGUAGUAUAGAUGCAGUUGAUUGGGCUAUGAAGCAUGUGGUUCGCCCUGGAGACACCCUUGUUAUUCUUGGAAUUAUUUGUGGGAUCGGAAGGAAAAUGUCUUGCUUUCCACUAAUUAUGGGGAUUAGUAUCGCUGGAAUAUGGGAAAGAUUGGAGUUUCCAGGACAAGGUGAAGUGAGGCCGAAAGAGCUUGGAGAGGAAAUCGAGAGAAAGAAAGAACAGUUCCAGAGUAGCCUCCAACCCUUCUACAGACAGUGCAGGAAGAAUGAGGUGAAGUUGGAAGUUAAACUUGCCGCUGGAUUUUGUCCAGAUAAAGUCACAGUUGAACAGGCUCAAAUCUCUAAUCCGCGCUGGAUUGUUUUAGACAGUCACUUGAAGAAGUUCAAGUUAGUCAUAUUUGGCCAUGUAGGAUGCAACAUUGCAGUAAUGAAAGGAAAAAGCAUUGCAACCUGGCUGCCAUCAAAAACUCGGCAGACUGAAUCAUUCUCACGAAAUUCGAGAAGAAAUCAAGAGGCUGGUUGCGGUAAUCUUCAAGAAAAUGAAGAUUGCAAUACUGCAGUUCAGGAAUCUACACAAUCAGCGCCUCCUAAAAGUCCAUGCUGGUAUCCUCUGUCAUGGAGAAGUGGCUUUCCUAGAGUAUUUACUCAAAUUGAACUUGAGAAUAUAACAAAUGGCUUUUCUGAAGAGAGUUUUAUUCAAGAAUCAGAUAAUGCAAUGGUCUAUGGAGGGCUAUUCCAGGAGACACCUGUUAUAGUCGAACGUUUUGCAGAAAAUAAGGAAACCUUCUGGUGUAUUCUCAAAAUACUUUCCAAGGUACGCCAUCGCAAUAUCAUGAACCUAGUUGGGUACUGCUGCACUGGCACUUCUUCGUUUCUUCUCUUUGACUUCCCUUGUAUGGGUAGUGUUGAAAUCCAAUUUCAAUGUGACGAUGCUGCUAAGAACAUGCCAUGGAAAGCUAGGUGGUGUAUAGCUCUCGAAAUAGGUGGAAGUUUACGAUAUCUUCAUGAGGAGUGUGUUGAUGGGGCCAUUGCUAUGCUCACUGUAUCAUCCUCUGACGUUGCCAUUUCUCAUGGUUACUGUUCCAUGCUUUGUAACUUCUCAAUGGCAAGGUGGUUUAAGGUUGAUGGUCUCACUAGUGAAGAUAAAUCAGCUGCUGAUGUGGAGGAAGAGAAAUACCUUGCUGUGGAUAUACAUGACUAUGGGAUGUUCCUCCUUGAGCUCAUUGUGGGAAAGAGUGAUCGUGUUUUCAGAAACCAUAAUGAGGGUCAAUCUCUCAUAGACUGGUACCACUUUUACAAAAUGGUUGCUUGAGUGAAGUCAUGGAUCCCAGAUUGUCCGAUUCAAGCGAAACUGAGCUGGUAUAUCAUAUGGCACAAGCUGCUCUCCUUUGCCUGAAAAGUGAUUCAGGUCACAGAUUUUCUAUGAGUGAGGUUUUAGCUGUCGUUCGAGGUGACCAGCUUGUAACAAGUGAUCGCUAAAGUUCCUCAGAGAAUUCACAAGGGUAUCUACCAAAUACCAGUUCUUGUUAUGUAUAAAUAAAUUAUUAAAGAAUGAUAUGAUGCUACAAGCUAUUUGUAUAUGUAAGGAUCCAUGGAGAUUUGAUUUUUGCUGCUGCUAUCAUUACUGCUCUUGUUUCCAGUUGUUUUUUGAAACAAGUUCUCAGAAUUCAAAUUU